CCCUUAGAUGUUCUGGGCUGCACGCGCGCUACACUGAUGCGUUCAACGAGUUUACGACCUUGCCAGACAUGGCUGGGUAAUCUUCUUAAACUGCAUCGUGAUGGGGAUAGAUUAUUGCAAUUAUUGAUCUUCAACGAGGAAUUCCUAGUAAGCGCGAGUCAUCAGCUCGUGCUGAUUACGUCCCUGCCCUUUGUACACACCGCCCGUCGCUCCUACCGAUUGAGUGCUUCGGUGAAUAACUCGGACUGUAGCACUGCUUGGUCUCCAGGCUUUGCAGCGGAAAGUUUAGUGAACCUUAUCACUUAGAGGAAGGAGAAGUCGUAACA
rnacentral:rRNA from 1 species